rnacentral:lncRNA from 1 species
UUUUUUUUUUUUCAUGUGUAUGUACAUAUCUAUUUUCUUGUAUUGCAGUUUAACUUCCCCCAGAAGCAGGAAUCCCUGAAGACAAAGACUGAGAUUCAGUGAAGUGAUUUGGUUGAGCCCAGGAUUCUACUGUAGAGGAGGUGAAAGUGAGAUAGUGAAGACCAACCAGUAAAUAAUGGAUAACAAGCCAGAUAUACUUGUUAAUGGAUAACAAGCCAGAACUUACUCUUAUAGGAAAAUUCUGAAGGAUGGUAGAAGACUUGCUUCAGAAUCCUCUUUCCUAAGUUAGGGGUAUUGUACAGGGAACUAUAUGCAAUAUAUUGUAAUAACCUAUAAUGGAAAAGAAUCUGAAAAAAAUCAACUAUACUUCAAUAAAAAAUUAAAACACUACAGAUAAAAAUCAAAUUUAAGAAAUGGGGGAAUUUUGGUAUUUAUAUACCAACCUCAAUCAUUAGAUAUGGGUUACCAUUAGAUGAGAGAGAAAGAGUGUGUGUGUGUGUGUGUGUGUGUGUGUAAUUAUUUCUCUGGCCUGUCCUGAGUCAGUGGCCAAUGAAUCUUCUAUGACUGCUGAUAUGAUCCACAGAAUAAGGGAUGCAGGUGAAAGGUAGCCCCAUACAUUGAAAUGAUGUGACCUCAGAGAUAAUAGAAAAUUCUAUACCUUGUUAUAAACUCCCUUCAUGCAGAAAUAAUGCUAUAUUUGUCAUUUUUACUUCCAGUGUCUAACCCAGUCAGUGCUUAGGAGUUUAUUGGGACCACAUGUACAUCGUAAAUGAAUGAGUCAUAAAGUAAAAAAGGCAUUUGUAUCAUGGUAGCUUUCACUGGUGCUUACUGAGUAUUUUUCAUAUGCUACAAACUGCUCUACGUUUUUUUAUUGGCUCUGUGUUCCUUACAAUGCACUGAACUAAGUGAAGCAGGAGUAAACAGUUUAAAUCAUUUUUGCUCGUGCAAAUCUGAGGGAAAAAAAAUGACAUCAGUGAACCUGUCAACUUGAUCAGGUAGUAAUUAAUUUUCAAGGAAUAGAGCUCAAUUAACAUUUCAUUGAGCCCUACAAUAAGCCUAGGCAUUUUCCAUUAUUGCAACUCAUAGUGUAGCAUAGAAGUUGAGAGAGUGGAUUCAGUGCCAGACUGUCUCUAGACAGUUAGUUUUACCACUUAUCGACUCUUUGACCUUGGGCAAGUUAUCUUAAGUCUCUGUUCUGUGAAGGAAUAGUUUUUAAAUUACAGGGUUCUUAGGGACCUAUACAUUAACAUUGUAAGAAUUCUAUCAGUGCUAUUACUCUCACUGUUUCUUGAGGAGAACGAACUUAGUUUCAAAGAUUCUAAAUCUGUGUAUCCAACUAUAAGCCAGAACUGUAUUUGAAAUUUGUUUUAUCUGUAAAUUUCCUACAACAGUUUUCAUACAUUAUUUCUGAUAAGCUGCAAAUGAUUCUAAUGCAGUACAUCAUAUGUUUAUUCAACAGGAUAAAAUGGAUGGGUCUUAGGUGUGCAUAGUCAACAUUUAGCACCACCAACAUAAGAUGUUAUAAAUAAUGAGAAUAACUGGGUAAUUGCUGUGGGGUUUCCUAUCAAAAGCUACACACCGAAAGGCAGUCUUCACGUUAGGAAAAAGACCUUUAUCUAUAUUAUGUUUUUCUGCUAUCAUUAAGCAUAAACACGCCUAAUUAAAGCAGUGGUCCUGGGCCAUAUACUUCUCAGUGUUCCAGUCCUGAAGUACCUUGUGGGACGUGAGAGCACAGUGAGAGCUGCUUCCUUGUGGGAAGUAGCUGACAGGUGGGUAAACAAAUGAGCUUCUGCCAGUCAGAGCUGGCGAAACCUGAGCAGCACACAUCAAGACCUGAAAACUCAGUAGGAGAGGGAGAAUCAAGGACUGGGUUUCAUAGAUCAAUGUUUCUCCUCUGCUCCUUUGUAACAUCUCUUCUUUACUCCCUUUCACAUGAGGAAGGAUACAUUUUAUAUUUUAGCCAACGUCUCUAUAAAAAUAUCCCAUGAGGGCAUGUGGAAGUUGCUGAACUCUAUAGCCUGGCCAGACCUUCACACAUAAUGAACAUUGAUGCCUUGUUUGGAAACUAGAGCGCAUGUGGAUUGCUCAUAAGACCCUUGGUGAACACAGAGAUUGCCUUUCAUAAAUUUGUCUUUAAAUCCUAGAACCCAGCAGUUCAUUCUGCUUCCAGAAGAUGGGUUCGUUAUUCCCUUGAUAGUAUGGCUGUGUCUGUCUAAUUUUAGAAUAAUGAUAAAAGCAGGUUUCAUUUUGUUUUUAACUUAUUCUGCCUCCAAGGUGUUAUUCUAUUCUCUGUAGCAUUCUUCAUUCCAUGUUAUGCAUCAUCUGAUUUUAUUUUUCCACUUUAGAAAAAUUUAUUCACAAGCCAGUCUCUUCUGUUGUAAUGUUUUAUAGCAAAAAUAAGUUCAGAGGGUGAUGGGAAACAUAACUGGAGGAAUCCCAAAGUUCUAUUCCUAAUGGUCAUGAAGUUUCUGAAAAGCAUCUGCUACCUGCAUGGUAUAUUCCCUCUGGCCAAGACCAUGCAUGACAGCACCUCAUCUUUCUCUCUCUGUGAAUUUUUUUAAUUGAAUAGAAAAUACUCCAGGGACAGUAUGCACAGUUUGAAGGUUGAGAAGGCAGAGAUUUCAAAUCUAGAGCAAAGCCUGAAACAGAGUAAGAACUUAGUAAAUGAUAGAAUACCCACUAAUAUAUUUGGACUUUUAGAAAUAAGCGUCACUCAAAAAAUUAUGCCAUGGAGAACAACAAAGAUCCUCAACUUGUUCUAUUUGGGAAAAAAAAAAAAGUAUAAUAUGAGAAUUUUGAGUUAAGUUUCAUUUGGGGCAAAAUGAAGACUAUAGCCUGGGAGACAGCAUUUCAGAAAGCCCUGAAGAGGCAGGGGGAGAGGUCAGAGUUGUAUAUGAUUUUAGUGAAGAGGGAAUACAUGUAGUCCAACACAUAUUUUAUCAGAGGCUUGCUGCUAGUCACUAGAAACAUGUAUCACUGUUUUAGCGCUUUUCUAGAUAUGAGGAGGUGCAAGAAUUGGGCACAUUAAAUUACUCCUGAAAAUAUCUAAUUACCUGAAGGCUUGUUCUGCACUUGGUGCUUUGGGAAAAACAGGCCUUCAGGUAGUUAGAUACUUCCAGGAGAUUUUAUGAGCCCACCCUUAACUCCUUUCAGGGUAUGUUGAAGGCCAGCAUCUGCAAUGGCUCAUGACUUAAUCCUUGGAGAGGCAGAUGACAAGUGACAAUGUUUAGCUGAAAUAUUUCUCCUCCAAAGAAGUGACAUAUACAAUUCGAAGAGAGAAAACUAAGUACCGACUUCCUGUGAGAUACCAGAACUUUUACAUAAAUUCCCGUCUUACUUGGUUAGUAUUACCUGCAUUUUAUGCAUGAGAUAAUUGAGUACCUGAAAGAAUCUUUCUCUCUCCCCUGGUUAUAUAAUUGGUAACUGGCAGAACCACAAUUUUUGUUUGUUUGUUUUUCUUUUUCUUUUUUUUAGGGCCACACCUAAACCCUAAAUUAUUUGUGGCUCUGGGAUAGGUUAGCGGCUACAGCUCCAAUUAGACCCCUAGCCUGGGAACCUCUAUAUGCCAUGGGAGCAGCCCUAGAAAAGACAAAAAAAAUUUAAAAAAAAAUUAAAAAAAAUAAAUUAAAAAUAAAUAAAUAAAAAUGCACAGCCUGAAAUAUGAGAGUUAAGUUUUAUUUGGGGCAAAAUUAGGACUUUUAAGUCCAGGAUACAUCAUCUUAGGUACCCCUGAGAAAACUGCUCCUAGGAGGCGAUUGGGGCAGGGAAGGGGGGGGAAGCUAGGAUAUAUAGGAGCUUUUUCAACCAAGUGCAGGUAGUAGGAACAAAGAUUAUAUAAAACCAGAUACCUUAAGUUAAGGACUUUGGAUGCUUCCAUGGGAAGUUGCCAAGGUCCAAGCUUCCCUGCAUCACUCCUUUGAUAUGCACCUCAGCUAUCAGGGCCAGUAUUCUUUGUUUCUUUCCUGAGUGCCCUUAGGGCUUACCAGCUCACCCUGGGGAGUGGCUGGACUCCAGAUGAUUGUGACAUCUUCUUGCUUUUUCAACUUAACUGCAGCCCAGCAGGGCAGCAUGUCAGACAGCCUGAAAGAGCACCUCAAAGAGGACGGGGAAAUGUCAGGGUAUAGUUGCUGUAGGUGAAGGGAGCGGUGCACACAGCCAUGCACGCAUUUUACGGAAACAUUCUGCUAAACCUGAAGGUCUUGAGGAGCGGACAUCACCAUGAAGGAUUUAAUGUUUUUCUAGAUAUGAGGAGUUAUAAGAAGUGAGCUCAUAAAAUUAUCUUCUAGAAAUAUCUAACUAUCUGAAGACCUGUUCUUCCAGUUUUCAGAGUGCCUCACUCACUCCUGUUCUCCAUCCUGAGCUCCGCUCCGCUCAGCAGCUGCAGUGGCUCAUGAUUUAAUUCAAGUAGAGGCAGAUGGCAAGUGACAAAAUCCAGUUCACAUUUCCUAAUUGUAUGGCAGCCAUGGCUGUUCCCUCCCCUCAAUCUCCUACAGAAGGCCCUAUAAAUGCCCCAAGGGGGUGGGCCACAGUUGAUUACCACUGACUCAGUAGUGGUGGACUUUGAAGGUACCAGUAGGAAAGCUGUGUUUAACAUUCUGCCCAUAAAAAUUCUCCCUCUUUAAAAACACUGCCAACUAUUCUCUUGUAGAAUGAAGAGUCUCAUUUGCAUUCAAAACAUCCACCCCCAGAGUUCAAAUGGAGCAAAGCCCUGUCCGUAACCUGGAUCCUCUCACACAAGGUUUCCUUAGCUGCUCCCACCCCACCCUUGUAUAUUAUCAUCUUUAGUGACCCUCCAAUUAUUUCACCUCUCUAACCAAAGCCUCCAUCUCAAGUCUGUGAUUAAAGUGUAGUCUUGCUGUUGCCGGUCUUUCUAGGCCACGGCUCAGCAGAAAACACUUAACUUCUUUCUGAAGUUAAGGUUUCUAAAUAUUGCUCUUGACCUGUUCUGUGGAUGAUUGGGAUUCCUUUGAAGGGUGCAAUGUUCCAAGGCCAACAUUUUCUCAAAUGUCUUUUACAAGUUCACUUCCAUUAAAAGAUUUGCUUUACUUGUUGCUCAGAUUUGGUAUGUACAUACGUACAUGCUCUAAUACUUUAUUUACAAAUGUUUAUUAAGCAUUGAAGGUGUGUUCUAUCUACUUUUCUUGGCAAACCUGAGAAACUUUCCUGAACAUAAUAGAGAACCCCACCCUCCUGAAGUUUAUACAGUUUGGAAAAAGGAGUGGAAAAUAAACAAUAGAUGUGAUAGAUAAAGAUUAGGACAAAGAAAGGGAAAAUGUGGGUAAGGUGUGGGCUGAAAUUUUAAAAAGGGCGAUUACCUCAUUGAGAAGGUGACAUUUGAAUGAAGACUUGGAAGAGGUGAGAUGAUUCUCCCUGAGGAUAUGUGGGGGAAAAUACAAAAGCUCAAAGGCAGGGAUGUGCUGGACAAUUAGCAAAUACUAUGCCUGUCAGACUGAAGCUUUGAGGGUUGUGAUAGGAAAGAAUUUCCGAGAGAUGACAGGCUGGGUCAUGAAGAGUCUUUCUUUUUUACCCUGAAGGAAGAGGAAAGGCUUUGAAAGGUUUUGACUCAGAGAAAGGACAUAAUAAGCCUUUUAUUUUAAAAGGAUCACUCUGGCUGUUGUGUUGAUAAUAGACUAUGGAACAACAAGAGCAAAACAACUAUUUUAAUAAUUGAGGGUAGUUCCUUCUUAGGGGGUAGCAAUGAAGGUAGAACCAAGGGACUUGCUGAUACAUUGCGGGUUAGAGAAAUAGAGGAGUCAAGAGUAUCUUUAAUGUGUUAGCAUUGAGCAACUGGAAGGACAACUGCCAGGAAUUAGUUAUAGCUGGAGACAGUUCUGGAGGGGGUAGAGAUUUCGUUUUGAAUAUGUUAAUUCUGAGAUAGAGAUUAAUAAUGGAAGUGAUUAGUCAUUUAAGUCAAAUAGGCUAUUGAAUAUACAUAAGCAUCUAGAGUCAGGAUAGAGGUCUGGCCUGGAGAUAUGCGUUUGGGACAUAUCACUAAGAUGGUAAUAAUGAAAGUCAUUCCUCUCUGCUUAACCAUUCUACCGUCGCCACUUAUCAAUAUUAAAAUACAACAGUCUAUUCUGGUAAAAGUGGCUAAAAUACUGUGUAUGUUACUUUUUCAUUUUGCAUUUUGAUUUGUCUCACUCUGCUGGAAUAGAUAUCCAGGCAGUGAUUUUUGUCUGUUUUAUUCUCUGCUUUCUCCUCAGCUUCUAGAAGAGUGUAGGGUACAUAAUAGCUGCCAAUAAAUGUUGUUGUCUCCACCCACAGCCAGAUACUUCUUAAAUUGCUAGGACUGAAAUUCUUCCUAGAAAGUUUUCCCCAGGUUUGUCCUUCCACCUCCUUUCUCUGGGAUCUUGAUCCAGAGGUGUGUUCAUCUGGGUCUUCUCUGACCUCAUUUUCCUGGGCUUCAAAUGCAGGAUGAUUCCCUGGCAUCAACCACUUCCUUCCAGUUCCUGUUUCUAUUAUACCUCCUCUCAAUUUAAAAUGUAAUCAUUUGUGGCCCUCCUGGUAUUUUUUGGAUUCAGUCUUCUGAAAAGCAAUCAAGAAACUAUUUUCUAUACAUGAUUAUUAUAGAUUGUUUAGACUUGUUCAAAUUAUCUACAACUCAGAAAUACUAUACUAAGGCAAGGAGGUUAAAAUAUUUCCUUGAGUGUCUCCUCCUUUCUAACAUCUUGCCAAGAAACCUGUUCAUCUCUGGCUCACUAGAGUGCAGUAUUUGUUUAAAGGAGUUGUAAAUGGACACUUUCUGUAUACCACCUGAUGGGCAUAGACGUGUAAAAAUGGAGGAAUGUUCAUAUUUACAAAUAAAUUCCC